GGGGCUGGGGAAAGACAGCACAGGGGUUUGUUCUCUCCUUCUGCGGACGUUCAAAGUGUGGGGUUUGGUUCCAAGAAACUAGCGGGAGUGCUUGGGCCCGGGCCCGGGAAGAACAAGAAUGCCCGGCCCAGAGCAAGGCUGCAGGAGGGGUCACCAGAGGCCACUGGACCCCUUCCCCGCCUCCCUCCAUCUUAGCACUCGAAUUUCCCAGAUUGAAGUCCCUGGAACAGGAAGAAAAGGGGCUGCAUUUCCUCCUCAGGCUGGAGAACUUGGACCUGUCCCCGAGGAGCGGCUGUGAGCCUGGCCAGCGGCCCGGGGCCAGCCAUCGCACCUCCAGGGUCACCGUGGGGCAAGGCUACUUCCUGGCUUUGAGGGGUGCAGCUUUCGACUUUCCUGGGAAGAAAAAGCGCUGGCUCUGGUUUGAAUCUCAGCCUUGGCCGUGACUCCCUUGACCUUGAACAAGUGACUUCCUUCUUGA